rnacentral:rRNA from 1 species
UGGGGAAUUUUGCACAAUGGGCGCAAGCCUGAUGCAGCGACGCCGCGUGAGGGAUGAAGGCCUUCGGGUUGUAAACCUUUUUCGCUCAUGGUCAAGCCGCAGCUUUGGGUUGUGGUGAGGGUAGUGGGUAAAGAAGCGCCGGCUAACUACGUGCCAGCAGCCGCGGUAAUACGUAGGGCGCGAGCGUUGUCCGGAAUUAUUGGGCGUAAAGGGCUUGUAGGCGGUUGGCCGCGUCUGCCGUGAAAUCCUCUGGCUUAACUGGGGGCGUGCGGUGGGUACGGGUUGACUUGAGUGCGGUAGGGGAGGAUGGAAUUCCUGGUGUAGCGGUGGAAUGCGCAGAUAUCAGGAGGAACACCGGUGGCGAAGGCGGGUCUCUGGGCCGUUACUGACGCUGAGGAGCGAAAGCGUGGGGAGCGAACAGG